rnacentral:rRNA from 1 species
GUACACUCCUACGGGAGGCAGCAGUGGGGAAUUUUGGACAAUGGGGGCAACCCUGAUCCAGCAAUGCCGCGUGAGUGAAGAAGGCCUUCGGGUUGUAAAGCUCUUUUGUCAGGGAAGAAACGGUGGUGGCGAAUAACUACUACUAAUGUCGGUACCUGAAGAAUAAGCACCGGCUAACUACGUGCCAGCAGCCGCGGUAAUACGUAGGGUGCAAGCGUUAAUCGGAAUUACUGGGCGUAAAGCGUGCGCAGGCGGUUGUGUAAGUCAGAUGUGAAAUCCCCGGGCUCAACCUGGGAAUUGCAUUUGAGACUGCACGGCUAGAGUGUGUCAGAGGGGGGUAGAAUUCCACGUGUAGCAGUGAAAUGCGUAGAUAUGUGGAGGAAUACCGAUGGCGAAGGCAGCCCCCUGGGAUAACACUGACGCUCAUGCACGAAAGCGUGGGGAGCAAACAGGAUUAGAAACCCCAGUAGUCCCAUGA